ensembl:lncRNA
CUCUAUCGCAUACGUUGUCAGUGUCGUGCGCUUGCUUAGACCUUUGUUGUGAUAAACAGUAAAGAGUGUUCAGCUGAAUUCAAUUUCCGUUUUGUCUGACGGGUAUACAAAAAAGGUUAGUAAACCGCGGCAGCCCUCCUGUUAAGCCCUCCUCAUGUGAAGACCGAAGAGUGUAAAGACCAUUGACUCUACCAUGCGACCGUUUUUUUUUAUUUUUAUUUUUUUUUACUUCUACUUGUUUCACUUCUAUUUCAGUUUUUAUAACCAAUUAUUACUAUGUGUUUCCAGAUCCCUACUAUCACUACCACUUGCAAACCACGCAUCACACAAUGUAGGCAGAGCAAUCCUAACAACCUGCACACUCUGCCUAUGUCUGCUAAUAGACUAUCUUUUUCUAUUGGUCUCUGGAAUUGCCAGUCUGCUGUAAACAAAGCCGAUUUCAUUACUUCUAUUAUUAUUCAUUCAAAGCUUAAUCUCAUGGCCCUGACAGAGACCUGGAUUAAACCAGAGGACACUGCAACACCUGUAGCCCUCUCCAAUAAUUUCUCAUUUUUCCACUCCCCCUGUUUGACUGGAAGAGGUGGAGGUACUGGUCUGCUCAUCUCUAAUGAUUGGAAAUUUAAUCCUUUACCAUCUUUGGGUAUCAACAGUUCCUUUGAAUCUCAUUCAGUUACUGUUACCUACCCUCUUAAAAUACAUUUUGUAGUUGUCUAUCGACCCCCAGGACCACUAGGUAACUUUUUGGAUGAAUUAGAUGUGCUGCUCUCAACCUUUCCUGAGGAUGGUACUCCCCUAGUUAUGCUUGGAGAUUUCAACAUCCACCUAGAUAAACCUCUAUCUGCUGACUUCCACACUCUGCUUGCCUCUUUUGAUCUCAACCGAGUGUCAACUACUGCUACUCACAAAUCAGGCAACCAACUGGACCUUAUUUACACACGACACUGCUCCACUGAUCAUGUACUGGUUACUCCACUGCACACCUCAGAACACUUCCUCCUCACUCUUAACCUCAACAUGGUUCCUGACACAUCACUUACCCCUCCACAUGUCAUCUUUCGACGUAACCUACGCUCACUCUCACCCUCCCNNNNNNNNNNNNNNNNNNNNNNNNNNNNNNNNNNNNNNNNNNNN